rnacentral:rRNA from 1 species
AUGGAGCUGGCUGUCAUGGGACGCCGUUCAGGUGCAGAGUUCGGGCUGGAGCUCAACGCCCACCGGCCCACAUGGCAAGUUUCGCUGGUCCUCACGAAUUUCCACUAUGGAUGCAUAAUCCACCUCCUUGGUCGAGCUGGGAAGCUAAUAAAAGCACUGGAGAGAAUAUCUGUAAUGCACAUGAGAUUAGACCCAACUCUGCAAUUUGGGGGAUCCCUGCUAGCAAGCAGUCUGUAUGGUUCACGGCAGUAUAAAUGUGGGUGGCAGAGUAUCUGUCGAAGCUCUACUCUUGGGUGCGUAGUGAAACCAGGGUUGCUUGAGAGAGACCAUCUUCAUCCUACGCUUCCCACGGAUUGA